rnacentral:rRNA from 1 species
CCUACGGGCGGCAGCAGUGGGGAAUUUUGGACAAUGGGCGCAAGCCUGAUCCAGCCAUUCCGCGUGAGUGAAGAAGGCCUUCGGGUUGUACAGCUCUUUCGCGAGGGAAGAAAACUUAUCCUCUAACAUAGGAUGAGGUUGACGGUACCUUGAUAAGAAGCACCGGCUAACUACGUGCCAGCAGCCGCGGUAAUACGUAGGGUACGAGCGUUAAUCGGAAUUACUGGGCGUAAUGUUGGCGCACGGUGGUGACAUCCCCGAGCUCAACUUGGGAACUGCGUUUGAAACUACAAGACUAGAAUAGGUCAGAGGGGGGUAGAAUUCCACGUGUAGCAGUGAAAUGCGUAGAGAUGUGGAGGAAUAUCAAUGGCGAAGGCAGCCCCCUGGGAUCAUAUUGACGCUCAUGCACGAAAGCGUGGGGAGCAAACAGGAUUAGAUACCCCUGUAGUC